UCCCCCACAACUGAGGUAACUUCAUUCUUUAACCUCCAAGAAAGGCUGGAAUGGGCUAAGACUUGGUGGGGUGGUGGAUGCUUGACGAGCAGUUGUUGCGUCCAAUCGGGGUGCGGCGCGCAGUCUGGUCGGCCUAUGGAACUCGGAUCCUGAAAUAAGAGGCGGACCUCUCGGAAGUGGGAAUUACUCAUGAGUCCCCGCGAUCAUCCAAAAGGGUCGGCGGCCCUAGAGCAACGGAAGCUCGACCUCCGGACACCCUUGUGGCACCGAGAUUGGAGUUGCGAAAGUAAAGAUGCAAGAUGAAUAGUGUCUAUCCAGACGUGUAAAAGUUCACCUUGAUAGCACUUUUAAGUAAGGUGGGGUCUGUGGGCGGAACCAUGCAGAUUAGGCUUCCAGGCCAAUCGGGGAGGGGGGCGUUGGUGGGCGUGGCUGUGAGGGGCUUCUACGUCUUCGUUGACUGAGGACCGCGCCGCGCCGCCCUCUGCACAUCACUAUUGGCUGACUGGACAAGGGGCGGGUUCGACGGCGCGCGGCCAGCUACGUUGGCUUGGAGUAAGAAGAACGUUGAGGCGGGAUGGGAUAUUCCAGUCCCGGGAAGCGUGAAGAGCGGUGCAAUACAAGGAACGCUGCGAGGGGCCUGGGCAGCCAGCAGAAGGCUCUCCAAGGUUGCCUGCGCUUGGCCCUCUGCCACCUAAGGAACUCUGCACACCCAAAGCCACUAAGUGAAGCCCAGAGGGCCUGAUCGUUUGGAGCCACGGCUCUGUCACCUGGGAACAGAAUUCUGGGUAGGGGCGCGGCUGGGGCAGUGGUGGAGGGCGCUCCAGGCAUCUCCUGAUGUUGGACCGGCCAGACCCUCUUGGGCUGGGCGAAUGGGAGGUCACUUCCUGGGAUAAGUUCUAAGUGCCAAGUGCCGUGGCUUUCCCCCUGUGAAACACUGACUCAACAUUAUAGACCUGUGGGCUGAGGAAUGCUUGGAUUGAAGCGACUAAAGGUGCUUAGCCUACUUUGAGCCAUUGCUAAGUGGAAGGUUUUGGUACUAGUUAUUAUUUUAAUUAUGAUUAAGACAAUGAAAACCAAUUACUGAUGUGGAGCCUUAUAUAUAAUAAGUAACGUAAGUCAUAUAUAGUUACUGUAAUAUAAAAGCAAUAUAUAAAUUUAUUUAUAAUACAAUAUAUUUACCUAAUAAUUAUAAAAAUAGAAUAUACAAAACAUAUUAAGAAUCACAAAAUAACAUAAGAAAAUGUACAUAGUGCAGAAAAAUAUGUAAAUGCAGACAGUAAAACAAUGUUAUAAGAAAUAUAUAUAGCCAACAAUAUACUGUUAAUAUUCUUUAUAAGGUAAAAUUGAUAAAACACGCUGUAUUUUAAGUAAUUAUAUGAUUUAAGCAUUUACUGAUUUAUGUAGUUAAAAUGCACAUGAAUGUAGAAUAUAAGAUAAAAUACUUCGUACGCAGCUCUUAGGCCUGUGAACUUACUGUAGGUGGGUGAAGAGUAUGCCCUCUUAAGACCAAGUGAAACAUUUCUGGUAUGCAGUGUUCAAUGCAUAUGUCAGAUAGAUCACUGUUCCCUGGUUACAGUCAGAUAGGCCUCUCUGAGUCUGCCUUUCGUCAUCAGUACAGUAGUGAUGUCAAUAGUGGUACCUACCUUACAUAAAUAUUCUAAGGUAUUAAAUGACCCAGUGUUACACCUAAAUUAGCACUGGUAUGUGAUUGGCCAUGACAAUGUUACUUUAUUAAAUAUUAUUAAAUCUUAAGAGUGUUAUAUGAUAAAUCAUAUACAGUGAAAAUUACUGUAUAUAUAGAUGUUACACUAAAUUAUACAUAAUAUAGAUACUGAAAUUAUAGUUCCAGGACACUGAUUGAAAUGAGAUGUGUUAAGGCAUACAGCAGGGUCCCAGUCAGAUGGACCCUUAAGAAGCCAGACGGUCAAACAGAUGGAUCAACCUCUGAGCAUACAAACGCCGAGGCACACAAACUAUCUCCUAGCGAGACACACAAGAGAGCCUCUUAGGUACAACAAGAUGUCUGGUAGAGAGUGAUCUCAGUAUCAUGAAGAUGAAGAAGAAGCUCAAGAUGCUAACUCCUAAAUCACUAAAACAAGUGUUACAUUGGAGAGAACUCAAACCAGUGACCAGAUGCUUCCUCCUUUCUGUGAGUGGCAUAUCCCUGUGUUGUAAGUUUUAUAUUAUGUGUUUGAAGCAACAGUUGCAUUUUUCACCUAUGUUUAAGACUGGUCCUGUAUCUCAACAGAUCUAUGCUACAAGUAGGUUCCUUUUUAAAACUUGUGCUGACUUGUUCUGUGAAAGAAAGUGAUUGUUUUUUUUUUCAGGGAAAACAGCAGAGCUAAGAACACCAACAACACAAUCUCUUAUCCGAAACACUUAGCACCAAAUGUGCUUUGAACUCACAGGUUCUCCAGUCUUAGGCGUAUGGAGUGGAUUAUAAAGUGCCUCCGCCCGGCUGGGCAGUGCCUGGUGAUUACACUCAUUCUCUCUCCAUGGGAGUGAUACAGGUGGGACCUCUCCAUGUGAGCACACUUCACAUUUUGCUGCCAUUGAAUUUACCAAAGAUUUUCAUCUGUGAGCUUUAGAGAAAUUUCAUCUGUGAAUUUUAGAGAAAACUAAAUGGUAAAAAUAUACUCACUGGCAUCCUAUGAGCGAUGAGCUGUGAGAACAAGAAAAAUAUUUAAAGAAACAAUGGCCCCAAAUUUUCAAAUUAAUGAAAAUUAUAGGCACAGGUUUGAGAAACUCAACAAAAUCUAUGCAAGAUAAAAAUCAAAAGCUCACUAGGAAAUAUUACAAAUAUAUUGCUGAAAACAAGGAAAAAUGACAAAAGGUUGUAAAGAAAAAGUAAGAUAUGUUACACAAGAACAAAGAUGAUUUAAAGCAAAUUUAUGAAAAAACUUGAAAUCAGAACUAUGGGGAAAUAAUUUUAUGAAGAAAAUAAAAAUAAAUAUGUUAAACUUAUGUUUUAUACUUUGUAAGAUAGUCUUUCAAAAUGAAGGCAGCAUAAAAAGUUUCAAAGAAAAGCAGCAAGAUUUUCUUCACUAGCAGGCUUCACACCAAGAAAAGUUAAAGACAAUUCUUGAAUAAUGGAUAUUAAAUAAAUAUAGUUGGAAAAUUAAUGUAAAUGAAUGAAGUGUUAUAAAAGUGAUUAUUAUCUAGGCAAGUGUUAAAAAGUGUUAACUUUCUAACAUAUAAAUGGAAAAACAGCAUAUCAUAAUGUUUAUAAUAUUUGUGGAAAUAAUACAAAUGACAGCAUUAGUACAAAUGAAAGUCAUAAAUGAUAGCACAUUGUUGUAAUGUUCUUUAUAUUAUUAUUUGAAGUAACACUGUGAUAAAGAAGCAUUUGUUAACCAUAAGAAAAUUUAAAAAGGAUAUAUUCCAAAAUGCCAAAAAGUAAUAGGCCUAAAACUGAGAAAAGAUGGAACCAUAAAUAUAAGCAAGCCAAGAGAAAGAUGAAAAAGCAUAAAAAAUGAAUAAAGAACAGAUGGGACAAACAGGACAAAUGGUAAGGUGGUCAACAUUGUGUAUUUGUAACUGAAUGAAGUAUAAGUCAACAGGUCAGUUAAAAUACAGAUUGUCAAACCGUGAAUAAUAGCAAGGGCCAACUACCUACUUACUAAAAGAAACUCAAUGUAAGAAUAUGGUCUACAAAAAAUAUAAAUAAGGACCUCCUUAAAUACAUGAAAAGGUAUGGUUUAAAAGUACCCUGACCAAAAAUCUUAAAUCACAUGAUGACAUAAUGAAAUCAGACAGAUCACAGUAGCAGCAGCAGCAAAUAGAUGUCAAGAUAAGGUACACUAAAGUGAGACAUAGCACCAUGAUAGAGAGGUCAAGACCAUGUUUUCAUUUAGAAGACAUAAUUAAACUAAAGACGUACACAUCGGAAUAUAAAACUGUAAAGUACCUGAAUAUUAAACUGAUAGCACUGGAAGGAGAAACAGACAACUCCAAAAUGACAGAGAUUUCAGUGCUACAGAAACUGAUAAAGUAGGAAGGGCAGACAAAAGCUAAGGCACAGAAGAUGUGAACAGAUACAGGCAGAAAUGAUUUACCUGUUUGACAAACAUGUUCCCCCCAGUCACGGCACAGGAGACGUUCUUCUCCAGUACUUACGGCACAUUUACAAGGUAGAUCACCCCCUGAAACACCAAGUGAGUGUGAAUACACUUUUAAAAGGUUAAAUCAUACAGAUUGCUCCUCAGUCACAACACAGAAAUAGCUCUUUUGCAAAAGAGAAGGGGACUAGGAAACACAGGGGGAGGGAGAGGGAGAAAGGGGAUGUAAAAAGAGUUAAGAUGUGUUAUGUCCAGCAGUGACUCUUCCUCGUGAAUGCAAUUAUGUGCUGCAAACAUGUAGCAAUAAAAAUUACAAUGAAAAAGGAAUUAACAGAGAGCAUCUUGGACUUCCAGGUAAUCAGAAAUUAAGUCACUGUGUUUCGUAUUAACACAUGAAUCAAAUAGUCAAUAUUAUAGGAUAUUAGAAAAUAUCCUUAACUAAAUAAAACUAAAAACACAACAAACAUUUGGAGGAUGCCAAGUGGUGCUCAUAGGGAAAUUUAUGAGCAUAUGCUUAAAAAUAGAUGAAUAUUAUAAACAUACAACUAUUUCUUCAUGUAAAUAUACGAAUAAAUGCCCAUAAUAGUGUUCUGCUGUGAGUUUAAGAAGUUGGGAAAUGGAAAGGAAAAUUAAAUGUGAAAUAAGAAAUAAGGAGAUAAUAUGGAGUGGAAUUCAGUGAGAUAGAAAACAAAACCAAAAGAACCAAUGGAAAAGUAUUCAGUUGUCCAAAAUGUCCAUGUUACUAAAAUUUGUGCAUAAAUGAUAAGAGGGGAAAUCAAUUGUCAAUACUGGAAUUGAGUCACGUGAAGAGAGCCUCUAGACAUUACAAUAUAAUAUUAAAAAUUACUUCAAAAAUUUUUUUAGUGGAGUAUAGAUAGAUACGUCUGUUCAGUUACAUGUGAGGAAUGCAAAACCUCAAAUUCCAUACUAGAGUUAGCAGGGAUCAGCCAUGUGAUUCACAGAUGGGAAAACUGGUGCAGAGGAAGUGAUUUGGCCUGGGGCCACCUGAGAGUAAGUGACUAAACCGCCGAUCUAACAGCCAGUCCUGGACUUGUGCCUCUGGAUGGACAAAACCAGGCUUUUGCUACUGUUCUCCCCUCAGAGGAGAUUUUAGGGGCAUCCCUUGGAAAGCUGACGGUCAAGCAGAUUGCUGGGGACAAGUAGGGUUCCUCUAGAAGGAAAAAGAGACCUCAUUUCUUUGCUUACAUAAAUACCGUGGUCCUUCAAAAUAGACCAGUAGGUGGCGUAAAAACCCAUGCUGCCUCGACGUGUAGACUCCUGCUCCGAAGAUCCUUGAACUUUUAAAAAUCUAGGGAAGCUCUGAGGUCAGCUCCUCUGCCCGGCGAGCGUGAAGCAUGAAUCAGGCACCAUCGCAGUCUCUGUUAGGAACACACUACUAACAAAUCAGCCCGCCUGACCUCCCUGCCAUAAUCUCGGAUCUGGGGUCUCUCAAGACUUGUUUACCUCGCUCUUCUCUGGAUUAGGAUCCACUACGAGAAAACAGUAUACUUCAGAAAGCACUUUUGGUAGUGCCUGAAUGUGCCCUUCCAUGUUUUCUACUGGAAUUUUCUGGAAAAUAGAGAUUAUUGGACAAUUGAAAAUGAUUUCUCAAAUGUCUAGAGCGAUGGAGGAAAGAAUUUUUGCAAUCGGAGAGUUCAUCUAUCCCUGAAAUUAAUUCAGUACUGUACUUCUAACAGUAAUAAGAGGUGACGUUUAUCCAAUACCCUGUGGUGGGUACCCUAUUCAGCACUAUAUCUGCGUAAGUUUAAUUGUUCCAGUCAAUUCUAUGCUGCUAUAAUAAAAUACUAUAGCAUUUAUAAUAA